CUUGAAAUAGGCUGAAAGCUAGGCCAAACAGUCAGCCAAUCAUAAAUGUAAAGGAAAAGUUCUUGAAGGAAAUUAAAAGUGCUACUCCCGUGAACACACAAAUGAUAUGAAAGCAAAACAGCCUUAUUGCUGAUAUGGAGGAAAUUGAGUGGUCUGGAUAGAAGAUCAAUCCAGUCACAAUAUUCUCUUAAGCCAAAUCCUAUACCAGAGCAAAGCCCUAACUCUCUUCAAUUCUGUGAAGGCUGAGAAAGGUGAGGAGGCUGCAGAAGAAAAGUUGGAAGCUAGAAGAAGUUGGUUUAUGAGGUUUAACGAAAGAAGACGUCUCCAUAACCUAAAAGGGCAAGGUGAAGCAGCAAGUGCUGAUGGAGAAGUUGUAGCAGGUAAUCCAGAAGAUCUAACUAAGGGGCACACCCAGCUCCAAGAUCACCUUCCCAGGCCUCUCUUGCUAUGACAGAUGCCAUGUGACACAGUUCUAGCCAAUGAGAAGUAACCAGAACACCCUGGCUUCCUGAGGCCUCCCCAGAAACAGACGUCACUAUGCUUUCUACAGGCUGCAGAAUCUUGAGUCAAUUAAACCAAAUAAAUCACCAAGUCUUGAGUAUUUAUUUAAAAGAAUUCCAGAAUGGCCUAACACAAAAAAAAAAUGGUACCAAUUUCUGUUUGGAAAGGAGUGUAACAUUGCUAUAAAGAUACCUGAAAAUGUGCAAGAAGCUUUGGAACUGGAUAAUGGGCAGAGAUGGGAAGAGUUUAGAAGGCUCAAAAGAAGACAUGAAGCUGAGGGAAAGUUUGGAACUUAUUAGGACUAGUUAAAUAGUUGUGACCAAAAUGCUAAUAGCGAUAUGGACAGUGAAGGCCAGAGUGCUGAAGUCUCAGAUGGAAAUGAGGAACUUAUUGGGAACUGAAACAAAGAUCACAUAUGUUAUGCCUUAGUAAAGGGCUUGGCUGCAUUCUGUCCCUGUCCUGGGGAUCUGUAGAAGUUUAAACGAAACAGUGAUGAUUUAGGGUAUCUGGCAGAGGAAAUUUCUAAGCCGCACAGUGCUCAAGAAGUGGCCUGGCUGCUUCUGACACUCAGCUGUGGUAGCAAAGGAAUGACCUAAAGUUGAAAUUUACAUUUAAACAAGAAGCAGAGCACAAAAGUUUGGAAAAUUUGGAGCCUGGCCAUAUGGCAGAGAAAGAAAAAGCUUUCUCAGGAGAGGAAUUCAAGCAGGCUGUAAAGUCACCACUUGCUAGAGAUAUUUGUGUAACUAAAAAGGAGCCAAGUGCUAAUAGCCAAGACAAUGAGAAAAAGGCCUCAAAGGCAUUUCAGAGACCUUCAUGGCAGCCCCUCCUGUCACAGGUCCUGAGACCUAUGAGGAAUGAAUGAUCCUGUGGGACAGGCCCAGGGCCCCACUGCCCUAAACAGCCUUGAGGGCACUGCUCCCCAAAUCCAGGCCACGCCAGCUCCAGCUCCAGCUGGGGCUCUAAGAGGGCCCAGGUACAGCUCAAGCUGCCACUUUGAAGAAUGCAAGCUGUGAGCCUUGGUGGCUUACACAUGGUGUUAAGCUUGCAGGCACCCAAAAUAUAAGACUGAAUGAGGCUUGGCAGCCUUCACCUAGAUUUCAGAGGAUGUAUGGAAAAGGCUGGGUGUUCAGGCAGAAGCCUGCUUCAGAAGCAGAACCCCCACAGACGACCCCUACUAGGGCAGUGCCAAGGGGAAAUGUGAGAUUGGAGCUCUCACACAGAGUCCUUACUGGGGCACUCCCUAUUGAAGCUGUGAGAAGGGGGCCACUGCCAUCCAUACCCAAGAAUGAUAGAUUCACUGGCAGCUUGCACCUUGUGCCUUAAAAAAGCACUGCACUCACUGCAGCCCAUGAGAGUAGUCACGGGGCUUGCACCCUGAAAAGCCACAGAGAUGGAGCUGCCCAAUUCCUUGACAGUCCACCCCCUUGCACCAGUGUUACCUGGAUGCAGGAUAUGGAGUCAAAGAAUAUUAUUUUGGACUUUCACAAUUUAAUGACUGCCCUGCUGGGUUUCAAACUUGCAUGGGACCUGUAGCCUCUUUCUUUUGGCUGAUUUCUCCCAUUUGAAAAAGGAGUAUUUACCUAAUGCCUAUAUUCCCAUUGUAUCUUGAGAGUGACUAAUUUGGUUUGAUUUUCCAGGCUCAUAGAUUUUCCUUAUCUCAGAUCUGACUUUGGACUUUUGAGUUAGUGCUGGACUGAGUUAAGACUUUGGGGGAAUUAUUGGGAAGGCAUAAUUGUGUUUUGCAAUGUGAGAAGGACAUGAUAUUUGGGAGGGGUCGGGGUGGAAUAAUAUAGCUUGGGUAUUGGUCCCCACCCAAAUCUCAUGUUGAAAUGUAAUUCUCAAUGUUGGAUGUGAGGCCUGGUGGGAGGUGUUUGGGUCAUGUGGGUGGAUUUGUCAUGGAUAGCUUUGGCCAUUCUCUUGGUGAUAAAUGAGCUCUCACUUUGAGUUCACGUGAGAUCUGGUCAUUAAAAUAUGUGUGGCACCUCCUCCCACUAUCUCUUCCUCCUUCUCUGGCCAUAUGAUGUGCUUGCUUUCACUUCACAUUCUUCCAUGAUUUUAAGUUUUCCAAGGCCUCCGCAGAAGCAGAUGCUGCUAUGCUUACUGCACAGCCCGCAGACCCUUAAGCCAAUUAAACCUCUUUUUUAAAAAAGGUAAAAUAAAUAGCCCAGUCUCAGGUAUUUUUUUUAAAGCAAUGCAAGCAUGGCCUAACACACCCCCUCAUAGACAUAUCCAAAAAUGUGUUUACCAGAUAUCUGGUCAUUUCUUUACCCAGUCAAGUUGACACAAAAAAUUAAUCAUGACAUGUCUAUAUAUUUGCCUUCUCAGACCACUUUAAAUAAAAAGGAUUGAUGCAAAAACUGUUUGUUUUGUGACUGGUUUUUGGACUUUUCGACUUAGCAUAAGAUUUUUAAGGUUCAUCUAUGUUGCACAUGUAUCAGAUUUUUAUUCCUUUUGAUUAUACCAUACUUUAUUCAUCCAUUCAACAAUUAAUGGAUAUUUGGAUUGUUUCUACUUUUUGCUUAUUGUGAAUAAUGCUGCUAUAAACAUGUACAAUUUUUCAUGUACAAUUUUUUUGUGGACAUAUGUUUCUAUUUCUCCUGAGUAUACACCCAGGAGUGAAAUUUCUGGGUAAUAUGAUAAUUCUAUGGCUAGUCUUCUAAGGAACUGCUGAACUAUUUUCCAUAGAUGCUAUAUAUGUCUUGUUAUGUUUCCACCAGCAAUGUAUGAAGGUCCCAAUUUCUUCAUAUCCUGUUGUUUUGAUUAGUAAUCUAGUGUUUUGGAAGUGGUAUCUCAUUGUGGUUUUGGUUUGCACUUCACAAAUGACUAAUAAUGAACAUCUGUUCAUGUGAUUAUUGCCCAUUUGUUAUCUUUUUUUGAGAAAUAACUGUUCAAAUCCUUUGCCUAUUUUUAAAUUGAGUUAUUUGCCUCUUUAUUGUUGAGUUGUAAGAGUUCUUUAUAUGUUCUGGAUAAAAGCUUUUUAUCAAAUACAUAAUUUGGAAAUAUUUUCUCCUCUCUUUUCACUUUCUUGAUGUUAUCCUCGGAUGCAC
rnacentral:lncRNA from 10 species